rnacentral:rRNA from 1 species
AUUGAACGCUGGCGGCAUGCUUUACACAUGCAAGUCGAACGGCAGCACGGGUGCUUGCACCUGGUGGCGAGUGGCGGACGGGUGAGUAAUGCAUCGGAACGUGUCCUGAAGUGGGGGAUAACGCAUCGAAAGAUGUGCUAAUACCGCAUAUUCUCUGAGGAGGAGAGUAGGGGAUCGAAAGACCUUAUGCUUUUGGAGCGGCCGAUGUCUGAUUAGCUAGUUGGUAGGGUAAUGGCUUACCAAGGCGACGAUCAGUAGUUGGUCUGAGAGGACGACCAGCCACACUGGGACUGAGACACGGCCCAGACUCCUACGGGAGGCAGCAGUGGGGAAUUUUGGACAAUGGGCGCAAGCCUGAUCCAGCAAUGCCGCGUGAGUGAAGAAGGCCUCGGUGUAAGCUCUUCGUGGGUAAGGAAAGUUAGCUUCGGUUAA